rnacentral:rRNA from 1 species
AACAGGAUUAGAUACCCUGGUAGUCCACGCCGUAAACGGUGGGUACUAGGUGUGGGUUUCCUUCCUUGGGAUCCGUGCCGUAGCUAACGCAUUAAGUACCCCGCCUGGGGAGUACGGCCGCAAGGCUAAAACUCAAAGAAAUUGACGGGGGCCCGCACAAGCGGCGGAGCAUGUGGAUUAAUUCGAUGCAACGCGAAGAACCUUACCUGGGUUUGACAUGCACAGGACGACGGCAGAGAUGUCGUUUCCCUUGUGGCCUGUGUGCAGGUGGUGCAUGGCUGUCGUCAGCUCGUGUCGUGAGAUGUUGGGUUAAGUCCCGCAACGAGCGCAACCCUUAUUUCAUGUUGCCAGCGCGUAAUGGCGGGGACUCGUGAGAGACUGCCGGGGUCAACUCGGAGGGAGGUGGGGAUGACGUCAAGUCAUCAUGCCCCUUAUGUCCAGGGCUUCACACAUGCUACAAUGGCCGGUACAAAGGGCUGCGAUGCCGCGAGACUUAGCGAAUCCUUUAAAGCCGGUCUCAGUUCGGAUCGGGGUCUGCAACUCGACCCCGUGAAGUCGGAGUCGCUAGUAAUCGCAGAUCAGCAACGCUGCGGUGAAUACGUUCCCGGGCCUUGUACACACCGCCCGUCACGUCAUGAAAGUCGGUAACACCCGAAGCCAGUGGCCUAACCCUUGUGGGGGGAGCUGUCGAAGGUGGGAUCGGCGAUUGGGACGAAGUCGUAACAAGGUAACC